ACAUUCUUCAAAAUUUCUUGGCCAGCUUUGUCAUCAGUGUCUUUAGACAACACAAUCUUUACAUCGUGGAUGACAGCAUCAUGAAGCUCGUCCCAACUUGCAGCCAUCAAGUCCUUGAAAACAUUUUGAAUUUCAGGAUCUUGUAUGACAGGCAUGCGAGCUACAUCCUGACUAAAAUAUCGUAUGCUUCCAAUGCCCAUUGUAAGAGAAGAUCUGAAAUCAGAAGGGUUGCGAUAGGAAGGUGCUCCAACGGAAGUGAAGAUGAAUCGAGAAGGCAAGUAGUGACGGGGCUGGUGGUGGGUAAAAGCGGCGAAACGGGAGGACCUGAAACAGGAUGCGCGCCAUGUGGAUCUCAGUAACACCAUCUUCCCCAUUUUUUGUUGGGAAGGAUAGGUGAACAGA
rnacentral:misc_RNA from 1 species